rnacentral:rRNA from 1 species
AUGGCGGCGUCUGGAUUCGGAGGCGGCGAGGCGUUCCGGCUGUCGGCUGCGGCGGGGGCCGGCGCGCUGAAGCUGCACAAGGGCGACAUCACCCUAUGGUCCGUCGACGGCGCCACCGACGCCAUCGUCAAUGCUGCUAAUGAACGAAUGCUAGGAGGGGGAGGUGUUGAUGGAGUCGAAACCCCUAUGUCAGCUAUACAUCAAGCUGCUGGACCACAGCUUGUGCAAGCAUGCCGUGAAGUUCCAGAGGUUAAACCUGGAGUCCGUUGCCCUACUGGAGAAGCUAGAAUUACUCCAGCUUUUGAGCUUCCCGUGUCCCGUGUGAUCCAUACAGUUGGGCCCAUAUAUGAUAUGGACAGGAAGCCUGAGGUGUCACUAAAGAAUGCAUACGAAAAUAGCUUAAAGGUUGCUAAAGAGAAUGGCAUUCAGUACGUUGCAUUCCCUGCUAUAUCUUGUGGUAUUUUCCGUUACCCUCCAAAGGAAGCAUCAAAUAUAGCUAUUUCAGCUGCUCAACAAUUUUCAGCGGAUAUUAAAGAGGUGCAUUUUGUUCUGUUCUCGGAUGAGCUCUACAAAGUUUGGCGUGAGACUGCCCAGGAGAUGCUGACGCAGUUUGAGAAAUGA